rnacentral:rRNA from 1 species
GACGAACGCUGGCGGCGUGCCUAAUACAUGCAAGUCGAACGCAGUGGGGACGGGUGAUUAACACGUGGGUAACCUCCCAUCAGAGGGGAUAACACUUGGAAACAGGUGCUAAACCGAUAUUGAUGUAUGGACCCUCGGUGCAUUAGCCAGUUGGUGGGGUAACGGCUCACCAAGGCCACGAUGCAUAGCGGACCUGAGAGGGUGAUCAGCCACACUGGAACUGAGACACGGCCCAGACUCCUACGGGAGGCAGCAGUAGGGAAUCUUCGACAAUGGGCGAAAGUCUGACCGAGCAAGGCCGCGUGAGUGAAGAAGGUUUUCGGAUCGUAAAGCACUGUUGUUAGAGAAGCGGUAUCUAACCAGAAAGCCACGGCUAACUACGUGCCAGCAGCCGCGGUAAUAC